rnacentral:lncRNA from 1 species
AAACAAGAUGUAUCUAAUAUAUCCGGUUGUUAGCUCCAAGUCAGAAGUAUCUCCAAGUUAAUGUUUUUGCUGUAGCAGUUGCUAUACAUAUCUUCCUAUAUCCCAAUUGUGAAAACAUUUGCUGAAGUGGUUGCAGAUAAGACAGAGGAAUCCCUUGAUGGUGAUAACUACCAAAGGAUGAUAAGUAUGAUAGAUGGAACAACCGCGCAACCGGUUGUUCCCCAACAAACUGAUGUUGAUAUCACAUAUGUUCAUGGGCCUUCCAAUUUGAUCUCAGGUGAGUAUUAAACAUAAUUAAGAAUUGACGUUGUACGGUUAGCAGUAAACUAACACAUUAUGUCCACUACCGGUUAUUUUUGCAUGAAGCAGUCAACCCGGCAACCUCAUUAGGGGGUAAUGACGCUGCGUUUGUCCCUCUCAGUUGUCUCACACGCGAUUCUGGAGCCGACAUAUCACAAAGUAGUAAUGGUGUUACCGGUUUCGUAUUUAGUUGUACAGUGUUUAAGGAGGUUUUCUUGUAGAUGUUCAUGACCCAUAUUGUAUUUGUGUUGUUCCAGAGGCUCUAGAUGUGAAUCCUAUAGAUGGCAGAAGACACUCGUUAAUGUGUGAAAAUGCUCAAGCUUUACCGGUACCCGAUGCAACAUCCAAGCAGAUCACUACAGGAUCUGUCGUUAAUGUGUGCAAACUAACUAAGAAAGGGGUCAUGUCUGACGAAAAAAAGGAACAGAUGAACGCCAAGAGGCGAGCUGCUUAUCACAAGAAAAAAGAAGAGGAAGCACAGAAACUCUUGCAUGAAUAUCAACCUGCCCUUACAAUGUCUGGUAAGAUUGUUUGAUUUAUAAUCAAUCCAAUGAACAAUUAGAUUCAAUUUGCAUCCCUGCGUUUAGUACUAACAUAUCUUGCUACCACAUUUACUAGAUGACAAGAGGGAGCGGAUAAACGCGCGGAGACGGGCAUCGUAUCGUAAGGGCAAACUGGAUGCUGAUGAAAACAAGGAGCCUUUAAAAGCUCCGAUGCGAGGUGGUUAUCGAAAGAAAAAUGUAGAAGCCGCCAACAAGAAUCUCCAUGAUAAUAUGUCUGCCCUUGACAUAUCGGGUACGAUUAUUCUAUAGUUCAGCACUACAGCUAAUGGAGAUACUCCUUUUGUUGCCAACUAUAUGAUUGUUAUCGGAAGAUCGGAAGAUAAAUGAGUACAUCACCUGAGAUCGUCAUGCAGGUACCCAAAGUGUUCCACAGAUCGCUCUAGGUGAUAUAACUAAUGUGGAACAAACAUCGUCGAUAAACCUUGACGAUAGAAAUAUGAUUAUAAAGUCAACAACUCGAGCUGUGGAUAAUCACCAAGAUGAAAAUCUUCCCGCCCUUAUGAUAUCAGGUUAUGAUGCUUUAUUUUUCAUCUGCAUUUUAUAGUACAUAUUCAUAAUGUUUGCCAUUAAGGGCGGUUAAUGUAUUUUCAUGCAAGUCAAACGUUUGAACUUCAAUGUUUUAACGUUCACUCAUUUCAGAUUCAACUAAGCAUUGCAUAUAUACAUUAGAUAAUUCAUUGGUGCCUUGGGUACCAAUUACCAAUUAAUUCAGUACUGAUUAUGUUUGUAUCAACAUGUAUAACCAGCCGACCCAACUAGGUCCAUCCACACAUCAUUUACACAAAGUGAUGCGUUAUUGCCUCAUUCAACUACAAUCACUUCUGAUGACAUUCAUGAUUACCACCUAGCUAUGAGGCAGCGUGUUAAGGAACGCAAUGUAACUUAACUCUAGAUCAAGUGGAGCAAUCAAACGCGAGGAGGCGAGCAACAUAUCGAAAACAAGUGGAUGAGGGAUCAAAAGAUCUUGAAGGAAAAAAUGAUAAGCUGCGAGAAUGGAGGUCAUGCAGCAAAGAGAAGGGGCAGUUGAGUGCAAAGAGAAAGGCAACUUAUGCUUCAAAAAAAACACCCCGUGCAAGGAAUCCCUCGCACUCCCACGUCCAUACCUAGCAAACUCAACAUCUAUAUGUCCAUCAUCCACCUGCCGUGCAAUAUCCCUCUCUCUGUCCGCCGAAGAUGAUUCAUCUGAUGACGACCCUACGAGGGUCAUGCCGAAUCACAUUGUUACUAAUGGUAUGAAAAUGCUAUGGUUACAUUGUUAUGAUCAUUCUCAGCAACCCUCUUCUGACAUGAUAUCGUCUAUUGACACAUUCGCCAUGACGAUAAUGCAGACGACACUGAUGUUUUUCGAGAUCGCAUCAUGGGCGAUGAGCCAAUGCCAUUCAACUUGAUGGAUGAGGAGUACUACAUGUUUCAUGACCAAGGUAUGGUCAACUAAGAACUAUGAAGUUGUGGAGCUUUUUUUAAUUAUCCUUUUUAGGAAAUGCUUUUGUGAACAUCAUGUUUGAACAAAUGCACGUAGGAUCCGAUAAUGAAACCAUGGAGGAGGACGAGGAAGCGAGCAUUUCGUCUGCUAUACCUAGCAAGGUUGAUCCAUUAGACUUUUUCUACACAAACAUACCAGACACCACUCACAUCCUCAAGCUCACCGCAAACUACAAACACUGCAAUGCCAAAAAGUUUGAGUCUGAGACCGACGGGUUUUGCUGUCGUAAUUCCCAGAUCGAACUUACGCAACCGGAACCAAUCCCAGAGCUGAUGAGGCUAUGGUCCAGCAUGGAUGCAGAUUCUAGACAUUUUCGUGAAAACAUACGGUUCUUCAACGGGCAUUUCGCAUUCACAACCCUUGGCAUCAGCCUUGAUGAGAACUACACAAACAUGAAGUCUGGGGUGUACGCAUUCAGGGCACACGGCACCAUCUACCACAAUGUGCAUUCGUUCGGGCCUAGCUCAUGUCUAGAACAUCUGCAGUUGUACUUCUAUGAUGACGACCCAACCAUAAGUCAUCGUAAGGCAGCCACCAAGCAAUUAGACCAGGAUGUCGUGAAGAAGUUAGUACACAUACUCAAAGAAAACCCGUACUCCCAGCAAUUUAGGAGUUUGGGUGCAUACAAGGACAACCUCGACGAUUAUAGGAUAGACCUAAACACGGAUAAGAGGCUUGACCAAAGAAGAUAUAAUAGACCGUUGUCAUCUGAGGUCGCUGCAAUUUGGGUUGAGGGCAACGACCUAGCAAAAAGGUUUGAUCGGAGGAUAACACUUUGUGGUAACAACAAUGAAAGGCACAGUAUACGUGUGACCUCCGGAGCAUAUGACCCAUUGUCUUAUCCCCUAUUCUAUCCAAGGGGGGAACUAGGUUGGCAUCCGAAGCUACCUAAACGUAAUGUUCCUUGGGAGGUUGAAUUAAAUCCUCAAUUGGGCCUUGAUGAUGACGCUGAUGCAAGUAUGUCGUAUGCAUCCCAUUUUGUUACAACUAAUAUCUAAUUUCUCAAAUAUAUCCUCAUUUUGAUGGUACUCGAUCACGUGCAGAGGGGAAUAGCAGGUUGUACGUCUCUAUCAGAGACUACUACUGUUACAUGCUAUAGGCACGGCCUGCCAUUUUCAAUCCCAUACUCUCUGGAGCACGCCUACUGCAGCAAUGGGCGGUCGACAUGUAUGUCAAGAUUGAGAGUUGUCGGUUGAGGUGGUUCAGGAAGAACCAGACGUAGAUUCGGGCUGACUUGUAUAAAGGUGUUGUUGAUGCGAUCACAUCAGGCGAGACGCGAGCAAGCGCUGUUGGGACAAGAAUAGUGCUCCCUGGAACAUACCCUGGUGGUGACCGCGACAUAAAAAAGAGACAUAUGGAUGCCAUGGCAAUUGUCCAUACAUACGGGAAGCCUGACAUCUUCUUGACCAUGACUUGCAAUCCUAACUGGGAAGAGAUAUCGAAUGAGUUGCUGCCUGGUCAGACGGCGCAAGACCGACCUGAUAUUGUGGCUCGUGUGUUCUACGGCAAACUAGAGGCUAUGAAAGACAUUUUGUUCAAGAAGCAUAUUCUGGGUGUUGUUGUUGCUUAUGUUUACGUAGUCGAGUUCCAAAAAAGGGGCCUUCCCCAUGCACAUUUUUUAUUGAUCAUGGACUCAGCAUAUAAGCUUAUCAUCCUGGAGCAGUAUGACCGACUCAUUUUCGCUGAGCUCCCAGACAAGCAUAAGUAUCCGGAAUUGUAUGCAAUGGUGGUAAAACAUAUGAUGCACGGACCAUGCGGUGCUCUGAACCCAAAAAAUGUAUGCAUGCAAGAGAACGGAUGCAAGUGCAGAUACCCACGGCCGUUCAAUGAAAACACAUCACAAGGGAAGGACUCCUACCCAAUUUAUCGAUGGAGAGACGAUGGUAGACGUGCUAAGGUCCGAGGAAAGAUGUUGGACAACAGAUGGGUUGUGCCUUAUAAUCCAUACCUUCUGCGGAUGUUCAAUUGCCACAUCAACGUUCAGGUCUGCUCUAGCAUAAAGGCUGUCAAAUAUCUUUACAAGUACAUUUACAAGGGCCAUGAUAAGGCUUCUUUCAGCAUUGACCAGCCCAAUUCCGAUGGUAACAUUGAUGAGAUCAAGAGGCAUGUUGACGCAAGGUGGAUUACCCCUCCGGAGGCUAUGUGGAGGAUAUUUGGCUUCGCACUUUGCGCCAAUCACCCGCCUGUAUUGCAGUUGCCUCUUCAUCUCCCGAAUAUGCACAGGGUUGCAUUCAAUGCGCAGGCUAACUUGAAGAAUGUUGUCGCCUCCGAAAAUGCUUCAAAAUCCAUGUUAACGGAGUAUUUCAAGGCUAACCAGGAACAUCCUUGGGCUAGGCAUAUAUUGUACAAGAAUUUUCCCGAAAGCUUCACGUGGCAGCUGAAAAGUAAGUCUUGGAGGCCUUGGGUCGAGCGUUUUCAAAUAGGUCGCAUAGUGUCUGCCAAUCCUGCUGAGGGGGAGCGAUACUACCUGCGUGUGUUGCUAAACCAUGUUGCAGGCAAAACAUCCUUUGACGACUUGCUCACCGUUGACGGUGUGCUAUGUGGGAGCUUUAGAGAGGCUGCUGAACGGUUGGGUCUCAUUGAGGCAGACAACACGCUCGACGACUGUCUUAAUGAGGCUGAGCAGUGGGCGAUGCCAUGUUCUCUUAGGAGGCUCUUCGCAACCAUCUUGGUGCACUGCGAGCCAGGCGACGUGCGUGGUUUAUGGUAUAGGCACCUCGAUUCUAUGUCAGAUGACUAUCAUUGAACACGCACUUCCCCUGACGAGGUGGAGCAGAUGGUGUUGCUUGACAUAGGGGUAUGUUGCAGUCCAUGGGUAAAGACAUUGUUGAUUUCGCUCUUCCAAGCAUAGAUGAUGCGUUUGACCCAACAGAGGGCGAGACAAGAGAGGUCAUCGAGGAAUCAACCAUUGAGUUUGACAUGGAUGACACUAAAUUGGCAUCUUCCCUGAACUUGGAGCAGAGGGCCGCAUUCGACGAGAUACUAGAGGCUGUUGAACGUGGUGAUGGUGGUGUAUUCUUUGUUGAUGGCCCUGGAGGUACAGGGAAGACCUUCCUAUACAGGGCGAUGCUUUCCAAGGUGAGGAGCGAGGGCAAGAUUGGUAUCACUACCACGACGUCAGGCGUCGCUGCUUCUAUCAUGCCUGGCGGCAGGACUGCCCACUCGAGGUUCAAGAUCCCAUUAAGCUACGAUGAUGGAGCCUCGUGCAGCUUCACCAAGAAGAGUGGAACCGCCAAGCUGCUAAGGAUGGCGUCAUUGAUAAUAUGGGACGAGGCCAGCAUGAUGAAGCGACAAGCGGUCGAGGCAUUGGACAAUAGCAUGCGUGACAUCAUGGGAAUACGCGGCCGACCCUUUGGAGGAAAGACUGUUGUUUUUGGCGGGGACUUUAGGCAGGUGCUUCCGGUCGUCAGAAGGGGGUCGCGGGGCCAGAUAAUUGAUGCAACCCUGCGAAGUUCUCAUCUAUGGAAGGGUAUGCGGCAGCUUCGGCUCAUCACCAACAUGAGGGCUCAUAAUGACACGUGGUUUGCAGAUUAUUUGCUAAGGGUCGGCAAUGGCACUGAGGAUGUCGACGAUCAAGGCAACAUACUACUCCCUGAAGACAUUUGUCUGCCGUCUUCAGGCGAGGUUGACGACCUGGAGAAGCUUAUUGACCACGUGUUCCCAAGUCUAGAUGACAACAUGUCUGAUUCAAAUUACAUGACAUCUCGAGCAAUUCUUUCCACUACAAACGACAAUGUCGACAAGAUAAACAUCCGCAUGAUAGAGCGUUUUCAUGAAGAUGAAGUAAUCUACCAUAGCUUUGACAGUGCGGAGGACGACCCGUAUGGCUACUACGCUCAGGAGUUUCUAAAUGGAUUGACUCCUAAUGGUCUUCCUCUGCAUGCACUCAAGCUAAAGCUGAACUGCCCUGUCAUACUUCUAAGGAACAUUGAUCCAGCUAAUGGACUGUGUAACGGCACUAGGCUUGUUGUAAGAGGUUUUGAAAGGAACACCAUUGAUGCAGAAAUCGUGAUUGGACAACACGCUGGUAGGAGGGUCUUCCUUCCUCGAAUACCUCUCUGCCCAUCUGAAAACGACAUGUUUCCGUUCAAGUUUAAGAGAAAGCAAUUUCCAAUAAGGCUUAGCUUUGCUAUGACCAUUAACAAGGCUCAAGGGCAGACCAUCCCGAUUGUUGGUGUCUAUCUACCCAAUCCCGUGUUCUCUCAUGGUCAGCUAUAUGUUGCUUUGUCUCGAGCCACCGUGAAGAGAAACAUAAAGAUACUCAUUCAGAAGGAGAAGCCGAAGGAGAAGGCCAAGAAGCUAAAGGACAAUCCAAAGAAGCGAAAAAGACCGACUGUGUCCUUACUGACCUCGAUGAAGAACAUCGUCUACAAGGAAGUCCUUACAGGCUGAAGUUUGGUCUUAAUAGACUGGCAGGUUUAGUAAUGACAAAGCAUUUACUCUUGCGAUGGUCAAAAUAAACUGUAAUUCGUUUUUUACAUAUAUAUUUCUUUUUUGAGACUUUGAAAUUCACAGUUAAAGAUAUUCUACAAGCGUACUUUUUCAUGCUUACUAUGUGAUUCAGAUAUAACCUGGAACAUGCAAUGAAUCUUUUGUAUUACGGCAAUUUAACAUAUCUGUUGUUAUUAUUUUGGUAUUUUGAUAGUAUGUUUGAAUGUAAUUUUAUGGACGACCUUAUUAUCCUCUGCAAUCAUCUGCUAGGUCAGAACUAUACAACACUGAUUGGUCUGAAUUAUAAGUCCAACACACACAGGAGGGAAAUUGUGUAUGUUGUGAAGAUAUAUUUUGCAUAUGUACUUCAAAUAGAUAAUAAAAUGAUAGCCUGCAUACUUGCGAAUAAGUUCAAAUGCCCGUGCGACUUUGGAAAAUGUGACAAGUCACAUGUCUCACACAUUAUGUCCACUACCGGUUAUUUUUGCAUGAAGCAGUCAACCCGGCAAACUCGUUAGGGGGUAAUGACGCUGCGUUUGUCCUUCUCAGUUGUCUCACACGCGAUUCUGGAGCCGACAUAUCACAAAGUAGUAAUGGUGUUACCGGUUUCGUAUUUAGUUGUACAGUGUUUAGGGAGGUUUUCUUGCAGAUGUUCAUGACCCAUAUUGUAUUUGUGUUGUUCCAGUGUCUGAUCGCUGAAGUGUACAAUAUUUGGGAAAAAAUUAGAAUAGUUGGUACUUUUACUUAUCCAAACUAAUUACUUAACAGUUCAGUUCAGGUUACAUAUAAUUUUUUUGCAUUGGUUCAUUUACCCUCAUGAAUUUACUGCGCAUCUGAAAUAGUUCAGACCUAACAAAUAGUUCAGACCCCGUGUUCAUGGCGCCUCCGCACAACCGAUCUGCACCCACAAAGCUGUUGCAUGUAGCAAGGCUGCAGGUAAUCACUUUGGUGAGUGUAAUAAAGUAAGAUGGCUGCUCACUUGCUUCUUUUGCCGUGUACUCGCUUAUUUUUUUAUAACUGUGUGAUCUAAGGGUCGGAUCGUGGUUCUUCUAACUGAUUAAGGUAGCUGCUUGUUUGCUUUUUUAUGCUCGCUCAGUUGCCUUUUUUCUAUCUAAGGAUGCAAGUUUUGUGUGUACCAAGUUGUGAAUUAAGAGGACUGAGUUCUAUCUAAGGAGAACCCGAUAGUCCUAUUUAAAGUCAUUUGUUAUUACCUUGAUCCUAUCAUAUGAUGUUUGGUAUUUUAUGGUCAUGGAAUGAGAGAUUGCAUUCCUUGUACAGGAGAUCUUUCCAGCGUUGGAUUGGACUAUUGCUGACUUUUAAUUUUAUUUUUAGGCAAAUGUCCACCUGUAAUGUUAGAGCAAUUAUUUUGGUGCUAAACUAAUCCCAAAUAAGUGUCACCAAUGUGUGAAAAUAAAAUGUGUGAUUAUGAUCUUUUAAUUAUAUUCUGAAUAUGAUUAUUAUGAAAUUUCUAAGUUGUUGACAUUCUAGCCUAUCACAUGUUGAUUGGAAGACUUCUCUUUUUGAUGGACUCUGGAUCUAAAGAAGCAUAUAAGCAUGUAGAGAGGAACAUGUUGUCCACUUUGCUGUACAAAUGUACUACACGAUUUUACACAUGUGUUUGAUUAGAUGAUAUUUGAUGAUUUGAGCAUUGUACUGGUGGGAUUUCCACAACACUACGUAUGAUCUAAACAUUGACUGAAAAUAUUUAUCAGAGUAUUCGUUUCAAACAAUUAAUUUUGCAAAAU